rnacentral:rRNA from 1 species
GAUGAACGCUGGCGGCGUGCCUAAUACAUGCAAGUCGAGCGAACGGACGAGAGUGCUUGCACUCUCUGAUGUUAGCGGCGGACGGGUGAGUAACACGUGGGUAACCUACCUAUAAGACUGGGAUAACUUCGGGAAACCGGAGCUAAUACCGGAUAAUAUUUAGCUUCGCAUGAAGCAAUAGUGAAAGACGGUUCUGCUGUCACUUAUAGAUGGACCCGCGGUGUAUUAGCUAGUUGGUGAGGUAACGGCUCACCAAGGCAACGAUACAUAGCCGACCUGAGAGGGUGAGCGGCCACACUGGGACUGAGACACGGCCCAGACUCCUACGUGAGGCAGCAGUAGGGAAUCUUCCGCAAUGGACGAAAGUCUGACGGAGCAACGCCGCGUGAGUGAAGAAGGUUUUCGGAUCGUAAAACUCUGUUGUGAGGGAAGAACAAGUACGUUAGUAACUGAACGUACCUUGACGGUACCUUACCAGAAAGCCACGGCUAACUACGUGCCAGCCGCCGCAGUAA